rnacentral:rRNA from 1 species
ACGCUCGACACCUACUGGAGGCAGCAGUGGGGAAUAUUGCACAAUGGGGGAAACCCUGAUGCAGCGACGCCGCGUGGAGGAAGAAGGUCUUCGGAUUGUAAACUCCUGUUGUUGGGGAAAAAGAGGAUGGUACCCAACAAGGAAGUGACGGCUAACUACGUGCCAGCAGCCGCGGUAAUCUGAGGCGGGCUGGACAAGGC